rnacentral:rRNA from 1 species
UGUGCCAGCAGCCGCGGUAAUACAUGAGUAGCAAACGUUAAUCAUGAUGGUUGGGUGUAAAAAAUACUUUGACGAUACCAAUAAUUGUUUUUUUUGAUAAAACUCUUAUAAGUUGAAAAAAUAUAAUAAAUUAUGUAUUCUUUGUAAAAAGUAAAAGAUAAAAUUUCUUAAUUUUUUAUAAAGCCUAAUUAAUGAAAAUAAAAUAAUUGUUAUAUUUGGUGUUUAGGUAUGAAAGUAUAGGAACUGAAAAGGAUUAGUGACCCUUGUAAACUAUACUGUAAAAUAUAGGUAUUAACAGAUAGACAUUUUUGUAAAGCUAACGCGUAAAUAUCUUACCUGGGUAGUACAACCGCAAGGUUUAAACUUAAAAAAAUUGGCGGGACCUAAUUUAAUGGUGGAGCAUGUGAUUUAAUUCGGUAAUCCUCGCAAAACCUUACUAACAUUCUAAUAAUUUUUAUUUUUAUUUGACAUAUAAUAAAUUUAAAUUAUUUCGAGUACUGCAUGGCUGUCGUCAGUUCGAAUUGUGAAACGUAAAAUUAAGUUUUAAUAGCGAACGCAACCCUAACUUUAUUAUAAUGUUAUUAUUUAUUAAUUUAAAUAAUUUAGGAUGAGGGCAAGUCUUUACGAUCUCUAAAUGUUAGGCUAUCCAUUUGUUACAAUGAAAAAAACAAAGAAUUUUUUAUAGUAAAUUAUAAAGAAUUUCUAAAAAUUUUCUUAGUUCGAAUUAUUUAAUAAAACUUUUAAAUAUGAAGGCGGAAUCAUUAGUAAUCGUAAAAUAGUACGUUACGGUGAAUACACACAUUAGGUUUGCACACACCGCCCAUCACGCUCGAAAAGUUUUCUGGAUUAAAGUUAAAUUAUAUUGAGUACAUUUGUACGUUAAUAUUUUAAGAUAAAUUUAGAAGGUGAUUGGAGUGAAGUUGACACAAGGUACUGGUAGGGG